rnacentral:rRNA from 1 species
GAUGAACGCUGGCGGCGUGCCUAAUACAUGCAAGUCGAGCGAACGGACGAGAAGCUUGCUUCUCUGAUGUUAGCGGCGGACGGGUGAGUAACACGAGGAUAACCUACCUAUAAGACUGGGAUAACUACGGGAAACCGGAGCUAAUACCGGAUAAUAUGUUGAACCGCAUGGUUCAAAAGAGAAAGACGGUCUUGCUGUCACUAAUAGAGGGAUCCGCGCUGCAUUAGCUAGUUGGUAAGGUAACGGCGUACCAAGGCAACGAUGCAUAGCCGACGUGAGAGGGUGAUCGGCCACACUGGAACUGAGACACGGUCCAGACUCCUACGGGAGGCAGCAGUAGGGAAUCUUCCGCAAAGGGCGAAAGCCUGACGGAGCAACGCCGCGUGUGUGAUGAAGGUCUUCGGAUCGUAAAGCUCUGUUAUUAGUGAAGAACAUAUGUGUAAGUAACUGUGCACAUCUUGACGGUACCUAAUCAGAAAGCCACGGCUAACUACGUG